rnacentral:lncRNA from 1 species
AGCAUCAAGAAGCUAAUUUAAUCCAUGGGAUCUAUUGAGAUCACCAAGUGAAAUAAAGUGAUGAGUCAAGAGAAGAGAACCCAGGGCAGAGUCUCCUUGGACACCCCUAAGUGAAGAUGUAGAAAAUGAAUCUCAGGAGUUGUGAGCCAGGUAGGAGAAGAACAAGGAGAGACAAUAUCAGAAAAUCCUACAGAGAAAAGUGAUUAACUCUGUCAAAGGCUUCAAAGAAGUCAAGAAGGACAAGGCCUAAGAAAAGGACAUUACAUUUGACAGACAUUUGGUUACUUUGGCCGAGAAGGGAGCGGAAACUUGGGAAGAAAAGGAAUCAAAAAGGCCAGUGCUGGCUCAGUUUGAGAAUUCUCUGUUCAAGAGUCUAGGUUCCUACUUUACCUGUGUCCCUGAUUGAGAAACUUCCUACCAAGACAUCCAAGAUAGAAGCCUUGCUGGAGCUAACACCUGGUGAAUCUGGAGAAAUAACUAAACACAUUUUGGAAAUGGGAAAAAAAGAAGAACCAAAGAAAGAGACCCAAAAAGAAUUGGGAGACUCAAUAGGACACAAAGUCCUACCUACAUCUAAGGCUGCUGAAGGUGAUGAAAAAAAAGACAAGCGUAAAGAUAAUGGUGGAGAAAGCCGUGGUAAAGGCACAACUGAAAAUAAUGACAAACUAUAUGAGGAUUUUGUUUUCUGGAACUAUAAUUUAAUCAUAGAUUAAAAAUCAUUGGACCAUGACUAGGCAAAUCAUUCUGGGGACUGAUUCAAGAAGAAUCUAAGUUCAUCUCAGUGGAUAUCUUCAAGGCCUUGAAAUGGAUAAUUUACAAGUACUUACUUUGAACUAGAUGCUGACCAAGUACUUUUCACACUCCUGCAGUCAAGAUACCCCCAGAAGUUUCAGAAGUCCUUCCUAGCCAGUUUCCUCUGCCAACUUGCUAUUGCUGUUCCAUCAUCUGGAUCCUGUGGCAAUUUUAGUUUCUCUAAUGAUCAAUUACCAAUCGGGAAACUUGACUGUGCCCUAUCUAAACUAUGAAUUAUGACCAAUAUGAUUUAAAAGAAAUAAAGCCAGAUAGAAGC